CGGCGUCGGCAUGUAGCAGUCUGACCGAGCACGCCGCGUGAGUGAAGAAGGUUUUCGGAUCGUAAAACUCUGUUGUUAGAGAAGAACGUCAGUGAGAGUGGAAAGUUCACUGAGUGACGGUAUCUAACCAGAAAGGGACGGCUAACUACGUGCCAGCAGCCGCGGUAAUA
rnacentral:rRNA from 1 species